UACGAAGGGGGCUAGCGUUGCUCGGAAUGACUGGGCGUAAAGGGCGCGUAGGCGGUUCGCACAGUCAGGCGUGAAAGUCCUGGGCUUAACCUGGGGCGGUCGCCCGAGACGCGGGGCCUGGAGUGGGGGAGAGGGUCGCGGAAUUCCCAGUGUAGAGGUGAAAUUCGUAGAUAUUGGGAAGAACACCGGUGGCGAAGGCGGCGACCUGGCCCUUUACUGACGCUGAGGCGCGACAGCGUGGGGAGCAAACAGG
rnacentral:rRNA from 1 species